rnacentral:rRNA from 1 species
GGGCUUUCACAUCUGACUUAUCAAGCCACCUACGCUCGCUUUACGCCCAGUAAUUCCGAUUAACGCUUGCACCCUCUGUAUGUACCGUAUGAAUAAGCAUCGGCUAACUCCGUGCCAGCAGCCGCGGUAAUACGGAGGAUGCGAGCGUUAUCCGGAUUUAUUGGGUUUAAAGGGAGCGCAGACGGGAGAUUAAGUCAGUUGUGAAAGUUUGCGGCUCAACCGUAAAAUUGCAGUUGAUACUGGUUUCCUUGAGUGCAGUUGAGGCAGGCGGAAUUCGUGGUGUAGCGGUGAAAUGCUUAGAUAUCACGAAGAACCCCGUCGACGCGGCCG